UGCACGGUGGCGCAGUUGGUAGCACUGUUGCCUUGCAGGAAGAAGGUCCUGGGUUCGUCUCCCGGCCGGGGGUCUUUCUGCAG